CCGCGGUAUUUUGACCGUGCAAAGGUAGCAUAAUCAUUAGUCUAUUAAUUGUGGACUUGAAUGAAUGGUUGGACGAAAUAUUAUCUGUCUCAUUAUUAUUUUUAGAAUUUAAAUUUUAAGUUAAAAUGCUUAAUUUUUUUUAUAGGACGAGAAGACCCUAUAGAUCUUUAAUAUUAUUUAUUUAUUAUAUUUUGGUUGUUUUCUUAUAUUAUUUAUUUGAUUUUUUUGUUGGGGUGACAUGGGGAAAUUUAAUAAACUCUUUAUUUUAUUUUACAAUUAUUUUUGAUUUAUUGACCUUUUAUUAAUGUUAUAAGAUAUAGAUACCUUAGGGAUAACAGCGUAAUUCUUUUUAAGAGUUCAUAUCGACAAAUGAGAUUGCGACCUCGAUGUUGGAUUAAGAUUAUAAUUAGGUGUAGAUGUUUAAUUAUUAGGUCUGUUCGACCUUUAAAUUCUUACAUGAUCUGAGUUCAAACCGGAGA
rnacentral:rRNA from 1 species